UACGUAGGGGGCAAGCGUUGUCCGGAAUCAUUGGGCGUAAAGAGCGCGUAGGCGGCCCUGUAAGUCCGCUGUGAAAGUCAAGGGCUCAACCCUUGAAUGCCGGUGGAUACUGCAGGGCUAGAGUCCGGAAGAGGCGAGUGGAAUUCCUGGUGUAGCGGUGAAAUGCGUAGAUAUCUGGAGGAACACCGGUGGCGAAGGCGGCAUCCUGGACCGGUAUUGACGCUGAUGCGCGAAAGCCAGGGGAGCAAACGGG
rnacentral:rRNA from 1 species